AAUAUUGGACAAUGGGCGCAAGCCUGAUCCAGCCAUGCCGCGUGUGUGAAGAAGGCCUUCGGGUUGUUAAGCACUUUUGUACGGGAAGAAAAGCCCUUGGUUAAUACACGGUGGUCCCGACGGUACCGGAAGAAUAAGCACCGGCCAACUUCGUGCAAGCAGCGGCGGUAAUACGAAGUGUGCAAGCGUUACUCGGAAUUACGGUGCGUAAAGCGUGAGUAGGUGGUUGGUUAAGUCUGAUGUGAAAGACCUGGGCUCAACCUGGGAAUGGCAUUGGAUACUGGCAGUCUAGAGUGCGGUAGAGGGUAGCGGAAUUCCCGGUGUAGCAGUGAAAUGCGUAGAUAUCGGGAGGAACAUCCGUGGCGAAGGCGGCUACCUGGACCAGCACUGACACUGAGGCACGAAAGCGUGGGGAGCAAACAGG
rnacentral:rRNA from 1 species